AACGAACGCUGGCGGCGCGCCUAAUACACGCAAGUCGAGCGAGAAGACGUAGCAAUACGUUUGUAAAGCGGCGAACGGGUGAGGAAUACAUGGGUAACCUACCCUCGAGUGGGGAAUAACUAGCCGAAAGGUUAGCUAAUACCGCGUACGCUCCUUGGACUUCGGUUCAGGGAGGAAAGCGAUACCGUGGGUAUCGCGCUCUUGGAUGGGGCUCAUGUCCUAUCAGCUUGUUGGUGAGGAACGGCUCACCAAGGCUUCGACGGGUAGCUGGUCUGAGAGGACGAUCAGCCACACUGGCACUGCGACACGGGCCAGACUCCUACGGGAGGCAGCAGUAAGGAAUAUUGCGCAAUGGGCGAAAGCCUGACGCAGCGACGCCGCGUGGGGGA
rnacentral:rRNA from 1 species